AUUAGCUAGUUGGUGGGGUAAGGGCCUACCAAGGCGAUGAUGCGUAGCCGGACUGAGAGGUUGAACGGCCACAAUGGAACUGAGACACGGUCCAUACUCCUACGGGAGGCAGCAGUAGGGAAUUUUCGGCAAUGGGGGGAACCCUGACCGAGCAACGCCGCGUGAACGAAGAAGUUAUUCGUAAUGUAAAGUUCUUUUAUCAGGGAAGAAAGAGGAAUUUGACGGUACCUGAGGAAUAAGCUCCGGCUAACUACGUGCCAGCAGCCGCGGUAAUACGUAGGGAGCGAGCGUUAUCCGGAAUUAUUGGGCGUAAAGGGUGCGUAGAUGGCAUAGUAAGUCUUUUGUAAAAAUGCUGGGCUCAACCCAGUAGGUGCAAAAGAUACUGCAAAGCUAGAGUAUGACAGAGGCAAGUGGAACUACAUGUGUAGCGGUAAAAUGCGUAAAUAUAUGUAAGAACACCAGUGGCGAAGGCGGCUUGCUGGGUCGAUACUGACAUUGAGGCACGAAAGCGUGGGGAGCAAACAGGAUUAGAUACCCUGGUAGUCCACGCCCUAAACGAUGAGUACUAAGUG
rnacentral:rRNA from 1 species